rnacentral:rRNA from 1 species
GACAUAGGUGGCGAACGUUAUCCGGAAUUACUGGGCGUAAAGGGCGCGUAGGCGGCCACCGCAAGUCAAUUGUGAAAUCUCCGGGCUUAACUCGGAAAGGUCAACUGAUACUGCGGGGCUAGAGUGCGGAAGGGGCAACUGGAAUUCUCGGUGUAGCGGUGAAAUGCGUAGAUAUCGAGAGGAACACCUGCGGCGAAGGCGGGUUGCUGGGCCGACACUGACGCUGAUGCGCGAAAGCCAGGGGAGCGAACGGG